GAUGAACGCUGGCGGCGUGCCUAAUACAUGCAAGCCGAGCGAACAGAUGAGGAGCUUGCUCCUCUGACGUUAGCGGCGGACGGGUGAGUAACACGUGGAUAACCUACCUAUAAGACUGGGAUAACUUCGGGAAACCGGAGCUAAUACCGGAUAAUAUAUUGAACCGCAUGGUUCAAUAGUGAAAGACGGUUUUGCUGUCACUUAUAGAUGGAUCCGCGCCGCAUUAGCUAGUUGGUAAGGUAACGGCUUACCAAGGCAACGAUGCGUAGCCGACCUGAGAGGGUGAUCGGCCACACUGGAACUGAGACACGGUCCAGACUCCUACGGGAGGCAGCAGUAGGGAAUCUUCCGCAAUGGGCGAAAGCCUGACGGAGCAACGCCGCGUGAGUGAUGAAGGUCCUCGGAUCGUAAAACUCUGUUAUUAGGGAAGAACAAAUGUGUAAGUAACUAUGCACGUCUUGACGGUACCUAAUCAGAAAGCCACGGCUAACUACGUG
rnacentral:rRNA from 1 species